rnacentral:rRNA from 1 species
UGGGGAAUUUUGGACAAUGGGCGAAAGCCUGAUCCAGCAAUGCCGCGUGUGUGAAGAAGGCCUUCGGGUUGUAAAGCACUUUUGUCCGGAAAGAAAUCCUUGGCUCUAAUACAGUCGGGGGAUGACGGUACCGGAAGAAUAAGCACCGGCUAACUACGUGCCAGCAGCCGCGGUAAUACGUAGGGUGCAAGCGUUAAUCGGAAUUACUGGGCGUAAAGCGUGCGCAGGCGGUUUGCUAAGACCGAUGUGAAAUCCCCGGGCUCAACCUGGGAACUGCAUUGGUGACUGGCAGGCUAGAGUAUGGCAGAGGGGGGUAGAAUUCCACGUGUAGCAGUGAAAUGCGUAGAGAUGUGGAGGAAUACCGAUGGCGAAGGCAGCCCCCUGGGCCAAAUACUGACGCUCAUGCACGAAAAGCGUGGGGGAGCAAAACAGGAUUAGAUACCCUGGUAGUCCACGCCCUAAACGAUGUCAACUAGUUGUUGGGGAUUCAUUUCCUUAGUAACGUAGCUAACGCGUGAAGUUGACCGCCUGGGGAGUACGGUCGCAAGAUUAAAACUCAAAUGAAUUGACGGGGUCAUAGCUGUUUCCU